GACGAACGCUGGCGGCGUGCUUAACACAUGCCAGUCGAACGGAAAGGCCCUGCUUGCAGGGUACUCGAGUGGCGAACGGGUGAGUAACACGUGGGUGAUCUGCCCUGCACUUCGGGAUAAGCUUGGGAAACUGGGUCUAAUACCGGAUAGGAGCCAUCUUUAGUGUGGUGGUUGGAAAGUUUUUUCGGUGUAGGAUGAGCUCGCGGCCUAUCAGCUUGUUGGUGGGGUAAUGGCCUACCAAGGCGGCGACGGGUAGCCGGCCUGAGAGGGUGUACGGCCACAUUGGGACUGAGAUACGGCCCAGACUCCUACGGGAGGCAGCAGUGGGGAAUAUUGCACAAUGGGCGCAAGCCUGAUGCAGCGACGCCGCGGGGGGGAUGAAGGCCUUCGGGUUGUAAACUCCUUUCGCUAGGGACGAAGCUUUUUGUGACGGUACCUAGAGAAGAAGCACCGGCUAACUACGUG
rnacentral:rRNA from 1 species